rnacentral:misc_RNA from 1 species
AAGGAGUCUAACAUGUGCGCGAGUCUUUGAAUUGCAAACUCACGGGCGGAAUGAAAGUGAUCGUUACGAGUCGCAAGACGCAGUAAUGACCGACCUUGAUCCACGGUGAUAGGUUUGAGUGAGAGCAGAGGUGUUCGGACCCGAAAGAUGGUGAACUUUGCCUGGAUAGGGUGAAGCCAGAGGAAACUCUGGUGGAGGCUCGUAGCGGUUCUGACGUGCAAAUCGAUCGUCAAAUAUGGGUAAAGGGGCGAAAGACUAAUCGAACCAUCUAGUAGCUGGUUCCUGC